GCACCCUUGGUGUAUGGAAACACACAUCUUUGAAUUAAUGUAUUCCUGUAUCUGGUUAACCAAGAUGAGUCCGGGGUUCAAAUCCCCGAGGGUGCA